rnacentral:lncRNA from 1 species
GGUUUCCAACUAUGACUUUGCAUUGUUAAGCCUGAGUUGUGCAUCAAGUUGCAAGUUUGUUGCUCAUGGUGUUUCUCUUGAGUACUAACAUGCCAAAACAUUUGCUUCAAACUUGUAUGCAGGUAUGGCUUCAUCCUCCAAUCCCAAGCGAGUCAAGACCAUUGGCCACAAAGCUGACAAGAGCAAGAAGAAGAAGGGCCG